CCACAGUGAUUCUCAGAGCCAGCAAGAAGGAGAAAUGUCCCAAAAGGGAACAUCCAUCUCAGCCAUUUGCCUGGAGCUGAAGGUUGCGGGCUCCAGGCCUCUAGAAUGCAGACAGCCCUUCCAAGAGGCUUCCUGGUAUCUCAGGGACCCAUGAAGCUUCCGUAGAGAAUCCCAGACACAUUGCUUUGUGCUGUCGGUGUAGAUUCUGAGACUUAGAAUCUUGGGGUGUGAGUUUCCUCUUAUCAUCUGAAUCGGUCAAGACAGCACAGAAGUCCUACCCAUAAGGACAGGGAAGGACCCACCAGCUCCAGGGACUCUGGACAUCAGGACGUGGAUGGACUGUGCCUCUGUGGCAGUGACGAUGGAAGAAAACUCUUGGCAAGAGGGGGAGAAGGAACAGAUGAGCCCGCCGUAGGCACCUGCUCCCCACUGAGCAUCAUCCAGACAGUACCACCAGGUAAAGAAGGGGAGAAACAGCACAGGGUGAUGUUACGAGGCACCACGACUGCCAGUCAGGACACUCUGGUUCUGAUCCAGGCUGGAUAACCCUGGUCAAGUCACUUAACCUCUCUGGGCCCCAGUGUCCUCGUCUGACCUAAUGAAAGCUUACUCUUGUGUAACAGGCUGAAAGCCAUGAGGUUCUCUCAAAUACGUUGUAUCCUUAACACAGCCCCGUGAGGCAUGCAGGGAAGGGACCAGUACCUGAUUUUCCAGGUGAGGGAAUACAGCAAGUGGGUGAGAAAUUUGGGAUGGGUGAAGUUUGAUAUGGCGAUGGGACAGCUCUCCUUGGAUGACUACCACGCUUUUCGAGGUUAGUUGGCCCCAGCAGAACCUGCCCCCGUAUCUGCUCUUCUCCCCGCCUUCCCCGUGUCAGUAAGUGUUAGCCACCGGGGGGGGGGGGGUUCCGUCCACAAUCAGAGAAGGCGUUCUCCUGUCUUCACACCCCAUGCCUCACCAGCCCGCCCAAAAUAUACGACAAAUCUGUAUCCUCUCCACGCCCACGGCCACCACCCUAGCCGAAGCCCCUUUUGCCCUCAUCCGGGCUGCUGCAGGGGCCCCUACAUGGUCGUUUUGUUUAUUAUUUUUGAGAGAGAGCAUGCGCGGAGGGGAGGGGCAGAGAGAGGGAGACAGAGGAUCUGAAGCAGGCUCUGCGCUGACAGCAGCGAGCCCGAUGCGGGGCGCAAACUCACGAACCGUGAGAUCACGACCUGAGCCGAAGUCAGCCGCUUAACUGACCGAGCCACCCAGGCACCCCCCAAACUGGUUUUCCUACUCCUUCCUUUGACUUCAUGGCAACCAGAGGGACCUUUUAAAGAUGGAAAAGAUAUAAAAUCACCUCAGUCCACAUCCCAGCCCUGCUUGGAAUACUCCAGGGCUUCUCACCACACGUGGAAUGAGUCCUAAAACCUGACCGUGGCCUCACAGGUCCCAAAUUAAAUGGCUCCGGCGACCUCUGGCCCCCCAGCUCACUCCGUUCCAGCCACAUCGGUCCGUGUGCUGCCAGAACAAACCAAGCCUGCUCCUGUUCGGGGGCCUGGGCUUCACUACCUCCUUCGCCCAGCAUAUCCCUAUUGAAACCUUCUCAUCACUCAGGCCUCGGUGCACACACUCCUUGUCACAGAGACCCUCCCUGAGCAUCUCAUGUCAGGCUGCGCCCUGUCAUCACCACAGUGCCCUCUAUGUUUCAUGCUACUCAUCACUGAGAUUCCUGUUCAUCGAUAUGUUGCCUUGUGUAGUGUAUGUCUCUCCCACCAGGAAAGAAGCCCGAUGGGAUAGGGACCUCACCGGCCUUGUUCCCGGCUGCAUCCGCAGUAAGCCACACUUAAUUUUCUUCGUAAGUAUCGGUUGCGUGAACAGAUGAAGAACACCGCGAAUCGAUGGCAGAGCUAGCGUUUGAACCCAGAUCUGCGACUCUUCUGGUUUUGUCCUCUUCCUUCUGUUUCGGAAAUGACCAAGGGACCUGAGGGAUCCUUCCCAAAUGCUCAGGCUAAGAGUCAACCUACCUCUUCGCAAGAGCCAUUCCCGCACGGUGUCAGUGACGUCGAAAGACAGCCAUUCGGCGGUGCCCCGUGUGGGCAGAUUUUUGCCACCGAUAUAGCGCUGUUUGGCGAUGUGCUCAUCGGGCCGGAGUAUCUGGAGGGCGGAGAAAGGAGUAAGCGGCCCAGGCCGGGACAAGGACGGCGGCACAUGUCACAAUGCAGAGGGGCACGUGAGGGGAGCAACAGGAAACUGAAAACUCCUGAACGCUCCUUCAAACGCUUAGCUAAUGCUUAAUCCUCUCAGCGACAGACGCACGUACAGAAAGCAAGACUCCAAGAAGGUAGGAUUCACACCCAGGCCUUCUGAACGGUGCACAGAGCAGAGGCCUGCAGGGGCAGGGGAGCCGGCUUUCCCCAUCUGUCCCUGUGCGUGUGGCUUCUGUUCUGGGAGGGGCUCACCUGGAAGAGCUCGAUCCUCUGCUCACUGCGCUUAGAGCUGGGGUUGGGCACCCGCAAGACCCGGAAUUCUGCUCGGAACAGGUUGGUUCCAUUUUUCUCCACUGAGGACACGUUGAAGCGGAAGACCUUGGAGGUGAUCCCUUUGGGGCAGACGGCCAGCUCAUCUAGGAGAUCAAGCAAGCAGGAGAGGUGCCGUAAGUGUGUGAGUGAGACCCCGCAGGAGCAGUGUGCGGCCCACAGACACCCGCCAGGCGGCCAGGGUCCCAUCCAUGACCUCCCUAGAGGCGUGAGGCCCCAGGCCUGAAGGCGGAGAUGGGAGGAAGAUCUUGGUGAAGGCCCCAGUCAGGAGCAAGGAGCCCCCGGAGUCCCGGGACCGGCACUAAUGACUGGCCGGUCAAAGGCAAUCGCCACUCCUGCCACGGCCUCGACAUCCCAACUGUGGCAGGCUCUCCAGCCUGCUUUGCUACUCUUUUAGAAAACACACGUCCUCAAAAGAUCUCAGCAAACCCCCUGGCGGUUUAACCAUCUCACAGCUACCUGCCCCAUGCAUGUGUUCGUUCCUUUGGGCGUUCAUUCAUGUAUUACUCGUGCGCUGAGCACAUACUAUGUGCCAAGCGCAGCGCUGACACUGGGAAGCAAAACUGAACAGACGUGCCCCUGCCUUCAAGGAGAGUCAUGUCGGGGGGUGCAGAGGGAGGAUCUUAAUACAAGGGCCCACGUAACGGGAUGAGCGGAAAAGUGUUGAGGGCCUUUGGAGAAGCCCAGGAGUUGGGAGGGACCAGAGUAGGGAGACAGCAGGGAGCACCUGAUGGAAGAGGUACCAUGUGAUCUGGGUCCUACAGGAGGAAAGGGUUUGAGGAUGGAGAGGAAGGGAUUUUCCAUGGAAGGACUGCUGGAAACGAAGCAGGGACAGGAGGAGAUGCGAGUAAGAGGAAGCAGCCAGGGGAGGGCUCGUGAGACAAGGUCAGCACAGCAGGCUGGGGAGGCUGAAGUAUCAGCCCGAGAGGCUGGCUUUUAUCGCGUUAGCAGUAGGGAGCCAUGGAAGGUGUUAGAAGAGCAGUGCAGUGACUUAAUUAACACUGUGUUUUAGACCCAAUGAGGCAGCAUCGGUAUGGCAAAGAGCCCACAUCUCAAGUCUGACAGACCCACAGAUGUUUCUUCAGACAGAGCUGGGCCAUCCCCACUGACUCCUUUCUAAGGAUUUCUGACUUUGACAGCACGUGCUCUGCCAGCCUCUGUCACCGUGCUGGCCUCUCCGUCCCUGUCCAGAAGACACGAGGCAGCAGAUGCUCUUUCCCCACACCUCGGAGCCAGAUGAAGAGAAGAGAAAGAUCCUGUCUCUUCUCCUGCACGCUUUACAACCUCAAGGUCGGAGCAGCAUUAACACCCAGAGAAAAACUUUCUACCCAAACGGUAAUAAUAGCCAGAACUUGAAAUUCAAGCUCAUAGACCCAGAUUCCACACAUAAUGGACAUGGCUGGAAUGAGCUCAUAAUCACCCCGAGGGGUGGUGUAGGAAGUCACGGACAAGGCGGGAAGGAUCAGAGGCUUGGAAACAAGCAAAUGCGCUACUGAUCUUGAGGAAAGGAUGAGCGAGUGUUUCUGGAAAUUGCCAUCUGGUGGGCCUGACACUGGUUCUUAGAAAAUUAAUGGAACAGAUGUUAGGAAAACAAAUGUGUGAAUGCCGGCUAAUGAAGCCCUGCUUAAUAACUGGCUUCGAAAGAACAAAUAUUGCCAACUAUUCCCUAAAUUAUUGCAGAUAGAACCAGAGAGAGGCACCAGCGUGAGCAGUUUAAUUUUUAAGUUUGCCCGUUUGAAACCCUCCGGACCUGGGUAGGUUCCUCAGACUGGCCACCCUCUCAAGUACUCGCACGCUUGGUUCCUGAAGGAGCUGUCAUCAGUGUGGCUUCAGUUAUAAUAGCACCUCCAGCAGCUGCUGAAAGGGGGCAUAAAGCGUAUGUCCACACGACGUGCACACUGCUGUGGAAAAAGAAGAUGGAACAGAAGACGGCGCAUGCCAGUGAGGAGAGUCAGAGGGGGGUCAAGACAGCAGGAAGCCAGGACACGCGGGCAGCGAUGAGCUAAGAGGGUCUUUAGCACACCCUUGUAACCAUCCCUCCUUUGCUUCUUCCAGCCCAUCAAUCAGAUGUCUGUUCCCUAUGACGGACUCCUCUUGGUGGGAACUUCAAGGAGAUUUCGAGAAGGAGGUGGAAGGGUCAUUUUUUAUCACUGGGAUCUACAGGUUUCUAGCAGAGGAACUCCGGGUUUGCCGGCUGUCUUAGAGCCACUGCCGGAUGAGAACAAGGGUCUCCCGCCAGACACAGAUAAUUACGAGCCAGAAGUUAAAACAACACCUACGCUGGUGAUAUCUUGAUAACAAGGAUGACAAAGGAAUGGAAAAGCCUGUGUCUUUCCCCACCACGUGGGGCAGAGACAGCCUCCACAGAGCCAACUCCUGGUGAAUUAUAAAAGGAUUUCCAGAGUCUUGCCUUCACUGCUGAGGCUGUUGAAUCAUCCCAGAUGUAUGCAUAAAAUUGCUUCAGCUGCGAGAGAGCUUAGAGAUGAUCUCUGACUUUACAGAUGAGAAAACUGAGGCUCAGAGAGGUGACCUGACUAAUGCCAUCUGGUGUGGUUGCUUAACCAGCUUGAGGCUCUCCGUUAGAUAAAGAACGCCCUUCCGUUGAAUCUGGGAGAACGUCUGUGACGAUAUCAAUCUCCUGGCCAUAACCAUAGGCGGAGCUAAGAACCAACACACCCAGUGGUCCCUGUGCGGUCUGCCACCAGGGUUACAAAGAGCUCCUACCCGCUCCAGCCUGCUUGGUCCGAUAGGUGAUUUGCUCAUGUUGUAAAUCAAAGUGCUAUUGGAGCCUCGAGGUUAAAGGUGGGACUUAAAACGUUUAUUUUACACACUUGGGUUAGUGCCUAACAGCAUGCAUUCUGCAGGCAGAACAACGUCUAGGUUAGAGCCCCUGCUCUUUGAGGCACAUUACUUAACUGAUGCACGUUUCUGUGUCCUCAUCUGUAAGGCAGAGAAUCGGGGUUCCUCUCUGACAGGGCAGAGCCAGAAGAUGGGCCCUCUCCUCUGUGCUCACCGUGGUGCCCUUUCUCCUGCACACGGGGAACGAUUCCUUGCCAUACUUUGCUCUCCAGGCUCCCCUACGUCCUUACGCCAGCUCCUGCUGUCACUUCCCUCUAAGGGCCCCUCCACUGGGUACAGGAGCAGGCUGGGAAUGAUGAAACGUGGAAGCGAAUGCGAUCUCAUCACUUCCCCCCAGAAGCUCUGGCACCCAGACCCUGCUAGGGUCCCGCCACGGACCCAGUGCCACUCUAGGACACAGCCCUCGUGAGCUCAGGACGGGCUUCCCUCACCCCAAGCCUCUGAGGAUGGCCUUCUGCUUCUUCUCAGCAUCUGCCCCGCUGCCUCCUUUAUAAUUAGUGUGCCUUCUGCGUCUGCCUCUCUGGGGCUGGCUCGGCACCUGACCAGCUGCAGGGCGGGCCCAAGCCGCGUCUGCUCAGCCUCUGUGUCACCUCCAACAGCUGCAGAGAGUCUGGGCCUGCUUCCUGUUUGCACCUGCAAGCCUCCACGGCAUCGCCCGUGUCCCACAAUAUCCCAAAUAGUAUCUUGCUCCCUGUGCCGGGCUUGCUCCCAGCCUGACCAGGCUCUGUGGCCCGAGGGUCGCCCCUACCUGCUAGGGUUCUGCUGCUGCAGGCCGAGCUGCCCAGCAUCCGUGGGCCCUUGCCCCGGCUCUCCCCAAGACUGCUCGCUACCUGUGUCCUGAGUCUCUGUACAAAAUCCACAUCCACUGGCACCCAUAUGCCCUCACAUGCAUCUGGCCCAUUCAUUCUCGGCUCUGGAUUCCAGGCUGGAUGCGCCCUUGUGACUCAGAAUCCCUCCUCCCUGGGACUCCACCUCCUGACCCGGAUCGUAAGGUCCGAGCCCUUCUCUCUCACCCUGGGCUCCCUUCAGACCUCUCCUGCAGGCCUCAGUUUUCCACCCUCGUGGCCACUAUCUCCGGACUUGGUGGUUGCCCAGGGGGUUGGGGGUUCAGCCAUCCAGGAGCUGGUGCCUCUGGGAACCGUGGGCCCCUGGCAGAGGCUGAGCCAGACCCACGGGAGGACCCUGGGCAGGAUGCACUAGCCCUGCCUCUUACUCCGGCUUCCGCCCCGCACGGUAGCCACAUCCUAAGGCAAGGCGCUCCAGGCGGCCACAGGAAACGGGAAUGGGAACCCCUCGCCAGUAACCACAGGCUCCUGGACCUGGCAUGGGCCGGCUCCCAGUAGGGCCUUUUGCACCUUCAGCCGGAGCUGCUCCACCCACCAGCCACCUACUCCUCUUCCUCCUCUGCAGCCAGGUUCCUUUCAACUUCCCAAGUUCCCCCACUGACCCCCCUCACCCUGCCUGCUCCCUCCCACUCCCACUCCCCACUGCCAGGUGGGCCUGGAAGAGGUAGUCCGGGUGGUGAGGACACCUGCUGGUAGGAAAAGCAAACAGAGCUGCUCCCAGGGUCCCUGGCCCAGCGCGGCUCACAUUCCUCCUUCUCGGGCUGUCAGUUUCUCAACAUCUGCCAAAUCUCUCUCUCUUGUAUUGAGGUUUUUUAAAGGUCCGUUCAGUAAACACACAUGACUUCCACACGUGUACAAACACACACACGCAGACGUCUCACCCAGAAGCCUCCCAGCCUCUCGGCACAGACGGGAGCCUCCUGGGAGGACACACUCCCAGACAUAUGUCCUCUCUGCACCCACGGCCACACCUCCCACCCACUCUUCCCGUGACACGCAGACACAAAAGGGCGGCCAGCAAUCAUGUACACGUCCAGAGCCACAACCCUGCUCUCCCCGUGUCCACAGGCCUGGAAGACGCCCAUUUUGAGCACAUGAAUCUGUCUACUGUACAAAGCCAGACUACACAUCACCCUGAAGCACUUGUACGUGUGAACGUAGGUGCGUGCCUUUCAACCAUGCUCACAGCUCACGUGGGUCAUGUGUGUGGCAUAGACCGAAGGGCCUAGACAGCAAGAAGCUGGAUCUUGCCUGGGCUUCAAAAAGCUUGACAGACAUUAAUCUAGGGCAAGUGUACCCUUCUUCCCAAGGACUGGAAAAACUAAACCAAAGACGCGUCACAAUGAGUGGCGAAAACAAGGGAGAAGACCGAGGUCUCCAGACUCAGGGAGCUAUAACGGCUUUCAAGAGACCCGGCCCUGUCCCUCUAUGGCAUCCGUAUGCUCGCAGUCGCCUAUCCCAUCACAUGGGCCAGAGCACAGAUGUGAACAGGACGGCACGGUGUAAUUCCAAAGUAAAAUCAGUCGAGGAUGUGAUGUGAGUUCAGCAAGCCACUCAACUCCAGGGCGCCUGGCCUCCCAGAAGCCCCCGGCUCUUCCCACAAUGGCCUGGUCUCCCUCCCCAGCCACCCACCCGGCCCCAACUGUGCAUCACGCCUCCUGAGCCUUGGUGUGGGUGAUCCCGGGGCACCCUGCUGUGAGGCCCCUGCUAGGCCCCCCCCCCAAGGAACUCCCCACUCCUGCUCAGACCCUCUAGAGCAGACACCCCAGCGAGAACGUGGACUUACUG